rnacentral:rRNA from 1 species
UCUAGAGGAAGUAAAAGUCGUAACAAGGUUUCCGUAGGUGAACCUGCGGAAGGAUCAUUAAAAGUAUAUAGUUAUACAUUCUGUGUAUCGACUAAAUAUACCCAUUCUGAGUACCUUGCCUGUUGCUUCCAUGGAGCCUGACACAUGUCACUCUGGGGAUUUACAUCCCGAGGGAGCCUCCGUGGAAGGUAAUCAAUUAACUCUUGAAUCCAAUGUCAUCUGUCUGAUAAUGUUUAUAACAAAUGUUAAAACUUUCAACAACGGAUCUCUUGGUUCUCGCAUCGAUGAAGAACGCAGCGAAANGCGANAAGUAGUGUGAAUUGCAGAAUUCAGUGAAUCAUCGAAUCUUUGAACGCACAUUGCGCCUCCUGGUAUUCCGGGAGGCAUGCCUGUUCGAGCGUCAUUAAAUACCACUCAAGCUCUUCUGCUUGGUCAUGGAAGAAGAGAAUGCUUGCAUCCUCUCUUCUGAAAUCGAACGGCGGACUGCCUCAUGUGCCUCGCGUAGUAAGUUCAUCUUUUCGCUUGGAGUGUGAGAUAGUCUCGCCAUCAACCCCCAUACUUCUAAGGUUGACCUCGGAUCAGGUAGGGAUACCCGCUGAACUUAAGCAUAUCAAA